UCUAUCUGAUUUUCCCAUGUGUAAUGUAAUGUAAUGUGCUAACUAAUGAUAAAGAGUCCCUCCAAAAACUCUAGGUAAUGGUACAGCUUAAGAGCUACUGCAAUUUUAACCAACGCACCGCAACAAUUCAGACCCUUUUUUCUCCUGCCUCAGAAUCCAGACCCAGAUUACAUCUAACGCUAUCAGAUUACAAGAGAAAUUUCUUUAGAAACUGUUACAUAAGACAGAACAGAGCAUUUUUCAGUCAGUUUUUGUGUCAAAUUUUUGGAAAAAAGAAAUAUGGAUUACUGGUCAUCAUCUGUUAGCGUUGAUGAUGAAUUUGAGAAGCUUGUUCUUAGAAUGAACCCACCAAGGUAAUUUGGUUCUUUGUUUCUUGUUUAUGCUAUAUGUGUGAAUAAAUUUUAUUUUCCGUAACUGGUCAAUUGUGUUUCUCUUUUGAGACUGUAACUUUUAUGACUGAAAAUGGUAAAUUUUGAAGAAUCUGACAAAAGGUAUGGUUUUUGAAUUUUACUUCUGAUGUGGGUUAUUGUAGGGUAACUGUUGAUAAUGCAUCAAACAAUAAAGCAACUUUGAUCAAGGUAAUAGAAUUUUGAAUUUGAUUAAAUUAAGAAAAAUGUUAUAUUUGGGGAAAAUUUUGGUAUGAUUAUAUGUUUUUUGUCGGAUUUUUCAGGUAGAUAGUGCAAAUAAGAGAGGAAGUUUGUUGGAGGUGGUUCAGGUUCUUACUGAUCUGAACCUGAUAAUAAGGAGGGCUUACAUUUCUUCGGAUGGGGAAUGGUUUAUGGAUGGUAAUCACUUUUUUUCCUUAAAAUUUACUUAUAAUUGAUUUUGAGUCUAAUUCUUUGAUGGUUGAUUUUUUUGAUUGUCAACUGCAGUUUUCCAUGUUACUGAUAAACAAGGAAAUAAGGUCUCCGAAGAUAACAUUGCCGAGCGCAUUCAGCAGGUACAUACCACAAAAUGUUAAUAGAUUAUGCGGUUCGUGCUGAUCACAAGAUUGUUAAGAAAUUUUUUGAAGGAGCUAAUCUCCUAAUUUACUAUUUAAGAAUGGCUUGCAUUGAUUUCUAGGUGGAAAGUUAUAUAAUUCAUAAUUCCGUCUAAUAUCAAGUGUAUUGCCGGAUAGCAAUUUCGGUUGUAACCUGCCACCGAUAUCCGGAAAUGAUGAGGUUUAAUGUCUUAGUUCAUUAAUUUUCUUGAUUUGUUAAUUUAUUGAAGUGGUUAGAAUUUAUUACAAGCACAUAAGCUACUGCACUCAAAAGGAAACUACCGAAUCUGUCAGUAUCAGCAGCAGAUUAUAUGGUAGACAUGUUUGAAAUCCGUGUGAACAGUAUUAGUCGAGGUAUGAUUUAUUUUGCACUUGGAGAGACGAGUAGGAUCAUUAAAUCAUCUUUAAUAAAUGAACAGCUAAAACAAAAGUCCUCUGCUAAAUCAAAUCUUCGGUAGGAUAAUAGAUAAUAGAAAGUUUAUGUUGCAUUGGACUUGAAUAGACAAAAAUAAAAUAGAAUCGAUGGAUGUAUCUUGCUCAUCAAAAUUUCCGCACUAUCAAAAUUGUACUGAUGAUUAAAUUAUAUUGCAGUCACUGGGACCAAAAGGGCGGAGCUUUCGGUCGAUGACAAGAUCUGUGGGCGUCAAACCUGCAGCGGAGCAUACGACCAUAGAGUUGUCGGGAAGAGACCGACCGGGCUUGAUUUCAGAGGUCUUUGCAAUUCUUGCUGACCUCAAGUGUAAUGUACUUGCUGCCGAAGUAUGAAUGUAAUGUGCUAACUAAUGAUAAAGAGUCCCUCCAAAAACUCUAGGUAAUGGUACAGCUUAAGAGCUACUGCAAUUUUAACCAACGCACCGCAACAAUUCAGACCCUUUUUUCUCCUGCCUCAGAAUCCAGACCCAGAUUACAUCUAACGCUAUCAGAUUACAAGAGAAAUUUCUUUAGAAACUGUUACAUAAGACAGAACAG
rnacentral:lncRNA from 1 species